AACAGCAUGGCGGUUGCAUCCCCAGGAAGCAGGCCCGCAGCGCCAGGAGGGGGUUUCCUGAGGACAGAGGCCCUUGUCCUGAUUGUCGCAGCAGGCCCUGUCGAUGGACUUAACUGUGAAAAUCACCCUUUCAGGGGUGGAUGCAAGGACUUCUGAGGGCGGAGAAGUAGAUACCUUCCUGGAUAGCUGUGGAGCCGGGGUCCUGCAUUUCCCUCUGGCGUCUCUGCUGACUGAGAUGUGAAGCAGUCGGCCCAUGUCCCGAGAAGAGGUUGGCCACAACUCUGUGCCACAUCCUCUUCAUUUUAGAAUCCAGGAUGAAGGAUAUGCCCUUAUCUGGGCACUUCUCCUUGCUGCUGCCAUGUGAAGAAGGACAUGUUUGCUUCCCCUUCUGCAUAAUUGACUGGUGGCCUCACAAGAAGAGACAAGAAGAAAGCUGUCUCUGUGCACACACACCGAGGAAAAGCCAUGUGAGCACACAGCGAAAAGGCAGCCGAGCCCACAAGCCAGGAAGAGAGCCCUGCACCCCAGAACUCAACUGUGAGAACAUACAUUCCUGUUGUUUAAGCCACCAGUCUGUGGUAUUUUAUGGCAGCCCAAGCUAAGACACGCUAGGAAGAAGAACCACUAUAGUGUUAACUGUAAUGGGCAGAAUGGCCCUUUAGUCACCCUUCCUGUGGCCUAACACUUGGACACUGUCACUUAAGAGGCCCCUCACAUCUACGCAGGAGGUGAUUAAAGAACAUUCUAAAUUACCUGGUAAUUUGGGGGUGUAAGUACAUGAAAGCAUUUUUAAAAUUCUAAUUUGUAUGUU
rnacentral:lncRNA from 1 species